GACGAACCGUGCGAACGUUAUUCGGAAUCACUGGGCUUAAAGCGCGUGUAGGCGGGUCGGUGCGUCGGCCGCUGAAAUCCCCCGGCUCAACCGGGGAAGGGGCGCCGAUACGACCGGCCUGGAGCGACGUAGGGGGAACUGGAACUCCCGGUGGAGCGGUGAAAUGCGCAGAUAUCAGGAGGAACACCGGUGGCGAAGGCGGGUCUCUGGGCCGAUACUGACGCUGAGGAGCGAAAGCGUGGGGAGCGAACAGG
rnacentral:rRNA from 1 species